rnacentral:rRNA from 1 species
AUUGAACGCUGGCGGCAGGCCUAACACAUGCAAGUCGAGCGGAUGAAGGGAGCUUGCUCCUGGAUUCAGCGGCGGAAGGGUGAGUAAUGCCUAGGAAUCUGCCUGGUAGUGGGGGAUAACGUCCGGAAACGGGCGCUAAUACCGCCUACGUCCUGCGGGAGAAAGUGGGGGAUCUUCGGACAUCACGCUAUCAGAUGAGCGUAGGUCGGAUUAGCUAGUUGGUGGGGUAAAGGCCUACCAAGGCGACGAUCCGUAACUGGUCUGAGAGGAUGAUCAGUCACACUGGAACUGAGACACGGUCCAUACUCCUACGGGACGCAGCAGUGGGGAAUAUUGGACAAUGGUCGAAAGCCUGAUCCAGCCAUGCCGCGUGUGUGAAGAAGGUCUUCGGAUUGUAAAGCACUUUAAGUUGUGAUGAAGGGCAGUAAGUUAAUACCUUGCUGUUUUGACGUUACCAACAGAAUAAGCACCGGCUAACUUCGUG